rnacentral:rRNA from 1 species
AACGAACGCUGGCGGCAGGCUUAACACAUGCAAGUCGAACGGUAACAGGUCUUCGGAUGCUGACGAGUGGCGAACGGGUGAGUAAUACAUCGGAACGUGCCCGAGAGUGGGGAUAACGAGGCGAAAGCUUUGCUAAUACCGCAUACGAUCUCAGGAUGAAAGCAGGGGACCGCAAGGCCUUGCGCUCACGGAGCGGCCGAUGGCAGAUUAGGUAGUUGGUGGGAUAAAAGCUUACCAAGCCGACGAUCUGUAGCUGGUCUGGGAGGACGACCAGCCACACUGGGACUGAGACACGGCCCAGACUCCUACGGGAGGCAGCAGUGGGGAAUUUUUGACAAUGGGCGAAAGCCUGAUCCAGCCAUGCCGCGUGCAGGAUGAAGGCCUUCGGGUUGUAAACUGCUUUUGUACGGAACGAAAAGACUCUGGUUAAUACCUGGGGUCCAUGACGGUACCGUAAGAAUAAGCACCGGCUAACUACGUGCCAGCCGCCGCCGUAACAC